GCCGGUCAAGCAGCCCUGACAAAUGAUCACUCUGAUUAGCUAGUGAAUCAGUGCAUGGAGACAAGAGCGGUAGUGCGGAACGCAAACAAACAGAGAAAGAAGAAAUGUUAAGAGGUACAUACAGUUUUUGCAUAUUUUUUUACUGCAUUUACAUCGCAUUGCAAGCAUAUUGAUGACAUGACCACCUGGAUGGAAGAAAGUCAAAAGGAAUUCAGCAGCAUGAUUCAGAAGCCACCCUUGUACUCAUAUCAGAGAAUUUGUUUUCAUAAAUGUAGAAUGUUGAUCCAGUUCCUGCUUAGUGGCAAAUGUUUACGUCGCCCAUCCAAAGCAUAGACACAGCCUGAGCACUUCCCUGAGCAACAUUCUGCUACUCCUCCAAAGUCUCCAGCAGUGGAAAAACAAGAAAAGACAAUGUGAAAGCCCAUUUCAGAAUCCAAGUCAGGAGUUCUUUACUUAUGCUAUAAAACUUUUUCUGUUGAAUUACUAUACAGCAUGUGAAUUCUUUUUAGUGUUCCAUGAUGUGAUUUCACAUUUAGUGAGCCUCCCACUUCAUUAUAUGAAAUAAAAAUGCUGUCGGUGACACUCCAAAGUGUCUGGAAAGUGGAUGACUCCAGUUAACCUUUGGAUGAGCAUAUGGCAGCCAACACAAAGCCUGAAACCCUGUCCUAUCGAUACUAUAGUGCUUCACUCCUCCUCCCAAAGAUAAGGUUCUUUCACCACAUGCAGGACGCAGCUGAGAGGUCAGGAGAACAACUGCAAGACAGAGGGGACCGAUGCUGAGCUUCUCAUCGAACUAUUAAUUACCCCGGAACACACACACACACACACACACACACACACACA